AGAGUUUGAUCAUGGCUCAGAUUGAACGCUGGCGGCAGGCCUAACACAUGCAAGUCGAGCGGUAGCACAGAGAGCUUGCUCUCGGGUGACGAGCGGCGGACGGGUGAGUAAUGUCUGGGAAACUGCCUGAUGGAGGGGGAUAACUACUGGAAACGGUAGCUAAUACCGCAUAAUGUCGCAAGACCAAAGUGGGGGACCUUCGGGCCUCAUGCCAUCAGAUGUGCCCAGAUGGGAUUAGCUAGUAGGUGGGGUAAUGGCUCACCUAGGCGACGAUCCCUAGCUGGUCUGAGAGGAUGACCAGCCACACUGGAACUGAGACACGGUCCAGACUCCUACGGGAGGCAGCAGUGGGGAAUAUUGCACAAUGGGCGCAAGCCUGAUGCAGCCAUGCCGCGUGUGUGAAGAAGGCCUUCGGGUUGUAAAGCACUUUCAGCGGGGAGGAAGGCGUUAAGGUUAAUAACCUUGUCGAUUGACGUUACCCGCAGAAGAAGCACCGGCUAACUCCGUGCCAGCAGCCGCGGUAAUACGGAGGGUGCAAGCGUUAAUCGGAAUUACUGGGCGUAAAGCGCACGCAGGCGGUCUGUCAAGUCGGAUGUGAAAUCCCCGGGCUCAACCUGGGAACUGCAUUCGAAACUGGCAGGCUAGAGUCUUGUAGAGGGGGGUAGAAUUCCAGGUGUAGCGGUGAAAUGCGUAGAGAUCUGGAGGAAUACCGGUGGCGAAGGCGGCCCCCUGGACAAAGACUGACGCUCAGGUGCGAAAGCGUGGGGAGCAAACAGGAUUAGAUACCCUGGUAGUCCACGCCGUAAACGAUGUCGAUUUGGAGGUUGUGCCCUUGAGGCGUGGCUUCCGGAGCUAACGCGUUAAAUCGACCGCCUGGGGAGUACGGCCGCAAGGUUAAAACUCAAAUGAAUUGACGGGGGCCCGCACAAGCGGUGGAGCAUGUGGUUUAAUUCGAUGCAACGCGAAGAACCUUACCUGGUCUUGACAUCCACAGAACUUUCCAGAGAUGGAUUGGUGCCUUCGGGAACUGUGAGACAGGUGCUGCAUGGCUGUCGUCAGCUCGUGUUGUGAAAUGUUGGGUUAAGUCCCGCAACGAGCGCAACCCUUAUCCUUUGUUGCCAGCGGU
rnacentral:rRNA from 2 species